GACGAACGCUGGCGGCGUGCUUAACACAUGCAAGUCGAACGGUGAACCCUGCUUGCGGGGGGAUCAGUGGCGAACGGGUGAGUAACACGUGGGCAACCUGCCCCCGGCUCUGGGAUAACUCCAAGAAAUUGGGGCUAAUACCGGAUAUGACUGCUGACCGCAUGGUCUGGUGGUGGAAAGAUUUAUCGGCUGGGGAUGGGCCCGCGGCCUAUCAGCUUGUUGGUGGGGUAGUGGCCUACCAAGGCGACGACGGGUAGCCGGCCUGAGAGGGUGACCGGCCACACUGGGACUGAGACACGGCCCAGACUCCUACGGGAGGCAGCAGUGGGGAAUAUUGCGCAAUGGGCGGAAGCCUGACGCAGCGACGCCGCGUGGGGGAUGACGGCCUUCGGGUUGUAAACCUCUUUCAGCAGGGAAGAAGCGAAAGUGACGGUACCUGCAGAAGAAGCACCGGCUAACUACGUGCCAGCCGCCGCGUAAAC
rnacentral:rRNA from 1 species